rnacentral:rRNA from 1 species
CAUGCAAGUCGAACGGCAGCACGGACUUUCGGUCUGGUGGCGAGUGGCGAAACGGGUGAGUAAUGUAUCGGAACGUUGCCUAGUAGCGGGGGAUAACUACGCGAAAGCGUAGCUAAUACCGCAUACGCCCUACGGGGGAAAGCAGGGGAUCGCAAGACCUUGCACUAUUAGAGCGGCCGAUAUCGGAUUAGCUAGUUGGUGGGGUAACGGCUCACCAAGGCGACGAUCCGUAGCUGGUUUGAGAGGACGACCAGCCACACUGGGACUGAGACACGGCCCAGACUCCUACGGGAGGCAGCAGUGGGGAAUUUUGGACAAUGGGGGAAACCCUGAUCCAGCCAUCCCGCGUGUGCGAUGAAGGCCUUCGGGUUGUAAAGCACUUUUGGCAGGAAAGAAACGUCGCGGGUUAAUACCCCGCGAAACUGACGGUACCUGCAGAAUAAGCACCGGCUAACUACGUGCCAGCAGCCGCGGUAAUACGUAGGGUGCAAGCGUUAAUCGGAAUUACUGGGCGUAAAGCGUGCGCAGGCGGUUCGGAAAGAAAGAUGUGAAAUCCCAGAGCUUAACUUUGGAACUGCAUUUUUAACUACCGAGCUAGAGUGUGUCAGAGGGAGGUGGAAUUCCGCGUGUAGCAGUGAAAUGCGUAGAUAUGCGGAGGAACACCGAUGGCGAAGGCAGCCUCCUGGGAUAACACUGACGCUC